ensembl:misc_RNA 7SK 7SK RNA
GGGUGUGAGGGUGAGCUGGCGCCGCAGAACCUGUCACCCUGUGAUCGGCAGCAUUGACUCAGCUGAUCUGGCUGACUGGGGGGGGGGUGUCCCGAUCCUCCCUCACGGCUCUAUGUGUGUCCCUCCCAAGGCUGUACGUUUGGCUGGAGAGGCCGCCGCUCCCUGAUAGAAGAGGACCGUUAUAUGAGUAGCUCUGCUCCCCUGCUAGGACCGCCAACCAAGCUCUCAAGGUCCUUUUAUAGGAGGACGUAGGUUCGUCAAGCUUGCAAGACUGCUGACACAGUCCAGUGAGGUGCUGCAGGUGGCAUUCUGCCUUCAAAA